rnacentral:lncRNA from 1 species
UUUAUUAGGACUUUGAACCGGCAGUUUAUACAUGGCAAAUGUUUCCUUUUCUGAAACAUACUUUCUUCUUACUGCUGCUGCAUGGGUACAAUGUAUGCAGUAGCUUACAGGUAAAUUGACGCAAGUGAGUUCCGAAAAUUGGCGCAAUUGAUACAUUUGGAAAACUAUAUUUGGCGCAAAUGAUACCCCUGAAAAACAGUAAUUGGCGCAAAAGGACUGCUGCCC